rnacentral:misc_RNA from 1 species
AAGUCGUAACAAGGUAACCGUAGGUGAACCUGCGGUUGGAUCAUUACUAAAUGAUGGUUUAUAGGCUUGAGCUGAAACUUUUCUGCUCGUCUAUAAGCUUUUUCAACCCUUUGUGAAUUUGUGACUGUUAUUUGGGUUAGCAAUAACCCAAACUUUUUUUUAAACCAAUAUUAUUUUUUUAGCCUGAUUUCUAAGUUAAAUGAUUAACAACUUUUGACAACGGAUCUCUUGGCUCUC